UACGAAGGGGGCUAGCGUUGCUCGGAAUCACUGGGCGUAAAGCGCACGUAGGCCGAUUGUUAAGUCAGGGGUGAAAUCCUGGAGCUCAACUCCAGAACUGCCCUUGAUACUGACGGUCUCGAGUCCGGGAGAGGUGAGUGGAAUUCCGAGUGUAGAGGUGAAAUUCGUAGAUAUUCGGAGGAACACCAGUGGCGGAGGCGGCUCACUGGUCCGGUACUGACGCUGAGGUGCGAAAGCGUGGGGAGCGAACAGG
rnacentral:rRNA from 1 species